rnacentral:rRNA from 1 species
UCAGUGAAAUUGAACUCGCUGUGAAGAUGCAGUGUACCCGCGGCAAGACGGAAAGACCCCGUGAACCUUUACUAUAGCUUGACACUGAACAUUGAGCCUUGAUGUGUAGGAUAGGUGGGAGGCUUUGAAGUGUGGACGCCAGUCUGCAUGGAGCCGACCUUGAAAUACCACCCUUUAAUGUUUGAUGUUCUAACGUUGGCCCGUAAUCCGGGUUGCGGACAGUGUCUGGUGGGUAGUUUGACUGGGGCGGUCUCCUCCUAAAGAGUAACGGAGGAGCACGAAGGUUGGCUAAUCCUGGUCGGACAUCAGGAGGUUAGUGCAAUGGCAUAAGCCAGCUUGACUGCGAGCGUGACGGCGCGAGCAGGUGCGAAAGCAGGUCAUAGUGAUCCGGUGGUUCUGAAUGGAAGGGCCAUCGCUCAACGGAUAAAAGGUACUCCGGGGAUAACAGGCUGAUACCGCCCAAGAGUUCAUAUCGACGGCGGUGUUUGGCACCUCGAUGUCGGCUCAUCACAUCCUGGGGCUGAAGUAGGUCCCAAGGGUAUGGCUGUUCGCCAUUUAAAGUGGUACGCGAGCUGGGUUUAGAACGUCGUGAGACAGUUCGGUCCCUAUCUGCCGUGGGCGCUGGAGAACUGAGGGGGGCUGCUCCUAGUACGAGAGGACCGGAGUGGACGCAUCACUGGUGUUCGGGUUGUCAUGCCAAUGGCACUGCCCGGUAGCUAAAUGCGGAAGAGAUAAGUGCUGAAAGCAUCUAAGCACGAAACUUGC